GUUCGAUUCUGGCUCAGAUUGAACGCUGGCGGGAUACUUUACACAUGCAAGUCGAGCAACUGGCACGGACUUCGGUCUGGUGGCGAGUGAACGGGUGAGUAAUGUAUCGGAACGUGCCUAGUAGCGGGGAUAACUACGCGAAAGCGUAGCUAAUACCGCAUACGCCCUUCGGGGAAAGCGGGGACCUUCGGGCCUCGCACUAUUAGAGCGGCCGAUAUCGGAUUAGCUAGUUGGUGGGGUAACGGCUCGCAAGCGGGCGUCGUAGCUGGUUUGAGAGGACGACCAGCCACACUGGGACUGGGACUUGGCCGAACUCCUACGGGAGGCAGCAGUGGGGAAUUUUGGACAAUGGGGGAAACCCUGAUCAGCCAUCCCGCGUGUGCGAUGAAGGCCUUCCGGGACGUAAAGCACUUUUGGCAGGAAAGAAACGGCGGGACCAUGCGUGCAACUGACGGUACCUGCAGAAUAAGCACCGGCUAACUACGUGCCAGCAGCCGCGGUAAUACGCGGGUCACAGGUCUUAAUCGGAAUUACUGGGCGUAAAGCGUGCGCAGGCGGUUCGGAAAGAAAGAUGUAGCAAUCCCAGAGCUUAACUUUGGAACUGCAUUUUAACUACCGAGCUAGAGUGUGUCGGUGGAAUUCCGCGUGUAGCAGUGAAAUGCGUAGAUAUGCGGAGGAACACCGAUGGCGAAGGCAGCCUCCUGGGAUAACACUGACGUAUGCAGCGUGGGGAGCAAACAGGAUUAGAUACCCUGGUGGUCCACGCCCUAAACGUCAACUAGCUGUUGGGGGGCCUUCGGGCCUUGGUAGCGCAGCUAACGCGUGGUGACCGCCUGGGAGUACGGUCGCAAGAUUAAAACUCAAAGGAAUUGACGGGGACCCGCACAAGCGGUGGAUGAUGUGGAUUAAUUCGAUGCAACGCGAAAAACCUUACCUACCCUUGACAUGUCUGGAAUCCCGAAGAGAUUUGGGAGUUGCUCGCAAGAGAACCGGAACACAGGUGCUGCAUGGCUGUCGUCAGCUCGUGUCGUGAGAUGUUGGGUUAAGUCCCGCAACGAGCGUAACCCUUGUCGUGGAUUGCUACGAGAAAGGGCACUCUAAUGAGACUGCCGGUGACAAACCGGAGGGAAGGUGGGGAUGAUCAGGAGUCCUCAUGGCCCUUAUGGGUAGGGCUUCACGUCGUACAAUGGUCGGGACAUGAGGUCGCCAACCCGCGAGGAGGCCAAUCCCAGAAACCCGAUCGUAGUCCGGAUCGCAGUCUGCAACUCGACUGCGUGAAGUCGGAAUCGCUAGUAAUCGCGGAUCGAGCAUGUCGCCGGUGAAUACGUUCCCGGGUCUUGUACACUGCCCGUCACACCAUGGGAGUAGUUGAAGUAGUUAGCUACAACCGUAGGAGGGCCGUUACCACGGUAAGUUCAUGACUGGGGUGAAGUCGUAACAAGGUAA
rnacentral:rRNA from 1 species